GUUUAUGGCCAUGCUACCCUGAACAAGCCCGAUCCCAUCUGAUCUCAGAAACUAAGCAGAGUCGAGCCUGGUUAGUACUUGGAUGAGAGACCACCUAGGAAGCUCAGGUGCUAUAAGUG
rnacentral:rRNA from 1 species